rnacentral:rRNA from 1 species
GACGAACGCUGGCGGCGUGCUUAACACAUGCAAGUCGAGCGGUAAGGCCCUUUCGGGGGUACACGGGCGGCGAACGGGUGAGUAACACGUGGGUGACCUGCCCUCAGCUCUGGGAUAAGCCUGGGAAACUGGGUCUAAUACUGGAUAUGACUCCACGGUGCAUGUCGUGGGGUGGAAAGCCUUGUGCGGCUGAGGAUGGGCCCGCGGCCUAUCAGCUUGUUGGUGGGGUGAGGCCUACCAAGGCGACGACGGGUAGCCGGCCUGAGAGGGCGACCGGCCACACUGGGACUGAGACACGGCCCAGACUCCUACGGGAGGCAGCAGUGGGGAAUCUUGCGCAAUGGGCGAAAGCCUGACGCAGCGACGCCGCGUGAGGGAUGACGGCCU